GACGAACGCUGGCGGCGUGCUUAACACAUGCAAGUCGAACGGUGAAGCGCCUUCCUUUUUGGUGGGUGUGGAUGAGUGGCGAACGGGUGAGUAACACGUGAGUAACCUGCCCCCUUCUUCUGGAUAACCGCAUGAAAGUGUGGCUAAUACGGGAUAUUCUGGGUCUGUCGCAUGAUGGGUCUGGGAAAGUUAUUGUUUCGGUGGGGGAUGGGCUCGCGGCCUAUCAGCUUGUUGGUGGGGUGAUGGCCUACCAAGGCGGUGACGGGUAGCCGGCCUGAGAGGGUGGACGGUCACACUGGGACUGAGGCACGGCCCAGACUCCUACGGGAGGCAGCAGUGAGGAAUAUUGCACAAUGGGCGCAAGACUGAUGCAGCGACGCCGCGUGAGGGAUGGAGGCCUUCGGGUUGUGAACCUCUUUCGCUAGUGAAGCAGGCCUGCCUCGUUUGUGGGUGGGUUGACGGUAGCUGGAUAAGAAGCGCCGGCUAACUACGUG
rnacentral:rRNA from 1 species